CCCUUAGAUGUUCUGGGCCGCACGCGCGCUACACUGACGCAUUCAACGAGCCUAGCCUUGACCGAGAGGUCCGGGUAAUCUUUGAAACUGCAUCGUGAUGGGGCUAGAUUAUUGCAAUUAUUAAUCUUCAACGAGGAAUGCCUAGUAAGCGUGAUUCAUCAAAUCGCGUUGAUUACGUCCCUGCCCUUUGUACACACCGCCCGUCGCUCCUACCGAUUGAGUGUGUUGGUGAGGAGUUCGGAUUGGCUCUUAGUGGUGGUUCGCCACCACCUAGAGCUGAGAAGUUCUCCAAACCGCCCCACUUAGAGGAAGGAGAAGUCGUAACA
rnacentral:rRNA from 1 species